AUCAACUUUCGAUGGUAGGAUAGAGGCCUACCAUGGUGGUAACGGGUAACGGGGUGUUAGGGCACGACACCGGAGAGGGAGCCUGAGAAACGGCUACCACAUCCAAGGAUGGCAGCAGGCGCGCAAAUUACCCAAUCCCGACACGGGGAGGUAGUGACAAUAAAUAACAAUACGGGGUUCUUUAGGAUCUCGUAAUUGGAAUGAGUACAAUUUAAAUCUCUUAACGAGGAACAAUUGGAGGGCAAGUCUGGUGCCAGCAGCCGCGGUAAUUCCAGCUCCAAUAGCGUAUAUUAAAGUUGUUGCAGUUAAAAAGCUCGUAGUUGAAUUUCGGGGUUAGUAGGUUGGUCAUGCCUCUGGUAUGUACUGGUCUCACUGAUUCCUCCUUCCUGAUGAACCUUAAUGCCAUUAAUUUGGUGUUUUGGGGAAUUUGGACUGUUACUUUGAAAAAAUUAGAGUGUUUAAAGCAAGCUAACGCUUGAAUACAUUAGCAUGGAAUAAUGAAAUAGGACGUUCGAUCCUAUUUUGUUGGUUUCUAGGAUUGACGUAAUGAUUAAUAGGGAUAGUUGGGGGCAUUAGUAUUCAAUUGUCAGAGGUGAAAUUCUUGGAUUUAUUGAAGACUAACUACUGCGAAAGCAUUUGCCAAGGAUGUUUUCAUUAAUCAAGAACGAAAGUUAGGGGAUCGAAGACGACCAGAUACCGUCGUAGUCUUAACCAUAAACUAUGCCGACUAGGGAUCGGAUGAUGUUAAUUUUUUAAUGACUCAUUCGGCGCCUUACGGGAAACCAAAGUGUUUGGGUUC
rnacentral:rRNA from 1 species